GUGUCAGCAGCCGCGGUAAUACGUAGGGUGCGAGCGUUAAUCGGAAUUACUGGGCGUAAAGCGUGCGCAGGCGGUUGUGCAAGACAGAGGUGAAAUCCCCGGGCUUAACCUGGGAACUGCCUUUGUGACUGCAUGGCUAGAGUGUGUCAGAGGGGGGUAGAAUUCCACGUGUAGCAGUGAAAUGCGUAGAUAUGUGGAGGAAUACCGAUGGCGAAGGCAGCCCCCUGGGAUAACACUGACGCUCAUGCACGAAAGCGUGGGGAGCAAACAGGAUUAGAUACCCUGGUAGUCCACGCCCUAAACGAUGUCAACUAGUUGUCGGGUCUUAAUUGACUUGGUAACGCAGCUAACGCGUGAAGUUGACCGCCUGGGGAGUACGGUCGCAAGAUUAAA
rnacentral:rRNA from 1 species